rnacentral:rRNA from 1 species
GGUGAACGCUGGCGGCGUGCUUAAGACAUGCAAGUCGAACGCAGUCUUCGGACUGAGUGGCGCACGGGUGAGUAACACGUAACUGACCUACCCCCAAGUCGCGAAUAACCAGCCGAAAGGAUGGCUAAUACGUGAUGUGAUGAUCCGCUGUGGCGGAUCAUUAAAGACUUGAUCGCUUGGGGAUGGGGUUGCGUUCCAUCAGCUAGUUGGUAAGGUAAAGGCUUACCAAGGCAACGACGGAUAGCCGGCCUGAGAGGGUGGCCGGCCACAGGGGAACUGAGACACGGGUCCCACGCCUACGGGAGGCAGCAGUUAGGAAUCUUCCACAAUGGGCGCAAGCCUGAUGGAGCGACGCCGCGUGAGGGAUGAAGGUUCUCGGAUCGUAAACCUCUGAACCAACGACGAAAGACCCGACAAGGGAGAUGACGGUAGUUGGGUAAUAGCACCGGCUAACUCCGUGCCAGCAGCCGCAGUAACAC